AGCUUUUUGAAUUCGUGCAGAGAUUUUGUUCGACACCAACCCAUUAUCGCUGAUCAGACUUCCAAGAUAAAUGAAGUU
rnacentral:pre_miRNA from 1 species